GCCUGUCUUCAGCAGACAAAAUGGCCACCAUUCGAUAGAGCACAUGUUUUUGGUUAUACGAAUGGUGGCCUCCCAGGGAAAGCACUUAUGUUAAUGACCUUCUUUGAAGUUAAUGAGCCAGGGGUGGUCUGUCUCUCGGGAGUAUAAAAAGGGGAACACAAAAUUCUAUUUGGUAACCGAACAGGGGGGUGUGUACGAAUUUGAAAGAGUGAUGUGG